GCCCAGGUAGCUCAGUCGGUAGAGCAGUGGAUUGAAAAUCCACGUGUCGGCAGUUCGAUUCUGUCCCUGGGCACCA
rnacentral:tRNA from 2 species